GGGUCUGUAGCUCAGUUGGUUAGAGCCCCGCGCUCAUAACGCGGUGGUCGAGUGUUCAAGUCACUCCAGACCCACCA
rnacentral:tRNA from 1 species